rnacentral:rRNA from 1 species
GAUGAACGCUGGCGGCGUGCCUAAUACAUGCAAGUCGAGCGAACAGAUGAGGAGCUUGCUCCUCUGACGUUAGCGGCGGACGGGUGAGUAACACGUGGAUAACCUACCUAUAAGACUGGGAUAACUUCGGGAAACCGGAGCUAAUACCGGAUAAUAUAUUGAACCGCAUGGUUCAAUAGUGAAAGACGGUUUUGCUGUCACUUAUAGAUGGAUCCGCGCCGCAUUAGCUAGUUGGUAAGGUAACGGCUUACCAAGGCAACGAUGCGUAGCCGACCUGAGAGGGUGAUCGGCCACACUGGAACUGAGACACGGUCCAGACUCCUACGGGAGGCAGCAGUAGGGAAUCUUCCGCAGUGGGCGAAAGCCUGACGGAGCAACGCCGCGUGAGUGAUGAAGGUCUUCGGAUCGUAAAACUCUGUUAUUAGGGAAGAACAAAUGUGUAAGUAACUAUGCACGUCUGGACGGUACCUAAUCAGAAAGCCACGGCUAACUACGU